rnacentral:sRNA from 1 species
CUGAGCCAUCUCUCCAGCCCCUCUCUCCACUUCUUACCACUGACGGUACUGUUGCAGAGAAACCAUCUAACAGGCCUAAGAAGCUAUUUAAGAUGAAUCCAAAUACCAAGGAGGAAGUAAGGAUUUUAACGGUACAUCAUCGGCAAGUGAUGAGAGCAUGGACUACUUUUAUCAGGUCGCUUCGCCUUCAUGUGUGAGUAUGGCACUGAGGCAGCAUCUUGGAGUGGGCGGUACUCAGUGUGCAGUGGCCAUCUUCUUUGUGUGCUUGUGACAGCCAUCCUGGGGUCUUCCCUCACUAUGCCCAGGGGCAGUCCCUUCAACUCCCCCACAUAAAUCUCCUGGUUCAGCCACUAUGGAAAUCACCGUGGCAGCUCUUCAGGAAGUUGAGAAUUUCUCUACCUCAAGAACCAGCUGUAAUAUUCUGGGAUGUCCACCCACAGGCUCUCCAUCCUACCACAGAGAUGCUUACUUGUUCAUCCAUGUUCACAUCUGCGCUAUCCAUAGUAGCCAAAAGUUGGAAAUAGCCUAGAUGCCGCGCCUGCAGCAGAGAUAACCGAGCUCCAGGGCAGACAUGACUCCUGAGUGGGAGCCGGUUCGAGGGUUCGCACCACACGUGGUUAAGCCCCCUGCUUGCAUGCGGCGGACUCCAAGAAGAUGUGCACCUGGACUUGCCCCCUGCUGCAAACUUGGCUCUGGGCUGAUGGGCAUCUGGGUCAUGGGAAAGAUCGUUGUCAGCACUUAUUUCUUUAUUUUUUCUUUGUUUGAUUCUGAAUAUGAUCUUGGCAAGACAGAGACUUCCUUUAAUAAUAGGACAGAAGGUCGUGAUCUAUUUUUGAUCACUAAUACCACAAGCUUUCCUGCUUCCUCUUUAUAGCAGACAGAGCCUCUGAUGACAGGGACUCCAAGGUUGCAGAUUAUGUCUUCUCUUAUAGAUAAGGAAAUAUAAGAUUUAGCAAAGAAUUAUACUUAUAAGGAUAGUGAUGCUUCUUCUAUUAGGUGUUGGUAGAACUGUUGAGAAAUGAUUCCUUGAGCUUUGGGUCGGCUAUGAAUAUUUUACAGAGUAUAGAAACAGGUGGUGGCAACCAGGUACUUACAGGGGACCAUAUGUGCAUUGACCAACGGAUGCUCCAUUACCAUAUACUGGAGAAUAUGAUUUGAAUUUUGAUAGGUGGGUUACUAAGGAUGGAUAUAAGGUCAGGUAUUUGUCACUGCCUUGGUCAGAAAGAUUGGCAAGAGCCCGUCCUCCUUGGUGUGUGCUCUCAGAAGAAGAGAAAUGGGAGGUAAGGUCACAGAUCAUCAGAUACUUUAGACAGGGAUCAGGCAUGCAAUAUUAUUGCCCCAAGCCUUGGAUGUACAUCUAUAGGACUAACAAAGAUGGGAUCAAAGGGUUAACUAGAGCGAUAGAACUAGAUGCACAGACCUGAUGGCGUAAGAUAUGCCAGACUUGCGGUCCCCUGAAACUUCCUCCUUGAUGUGACAAACGGAAAACUAGACUAGGCUGGCUGACUGUGGCUCGUCUGAAAAAAAAGCAAGCUAUACCUUUUUGCAGAAAAAUCAAAUGUUCUUGGCCAUGGUCCAAGAUUGUUAUGCAAUGAAAAUUGUGUAUAAAUGUCUGAUGCUCUCUCAGUAAAGUUGCAACAGCUGACCACA